rnacentral:rRNA from 1 species
UACGUAGGGGGCGAGCGUUGUCCGAAGUUAACUGGGCGUAAAGGCGCGCGUAGGCGGCUUCUUAAGUCUGAGGUGAAAGGUUCAACGCUCAAACGGUGAACAGUGCCUUGGAUACUGGGGAGCUUGAGUAAUGGGAGAGGGCAGUGGAAUGGCUGGGUGUAGCGGUGAAAUGCGUAGAUAUCAGUCGGAACACCCAUGCGAAGGCAGG